rnacentral:rRNA from 1 species
UACGUAGGGUGCGAGCGUUAAUCGGAAUUACUGGGCGUAAAGCGUGCGCAGGCGGUGACUGAAGUCAGAUGUGAAAGCCCCGGGCUUAACCUGGGAAUUGCGUUUGAAACUGGGUCGCUUGAGUUUAGCAGAGGGGGGUAGAAUUCCACGUGUAGCAGUGAAAUGCGUAGAGAUGUGGAGGAACACCGAUGGCGAAGGCAGCCCCCUGGGCUAGAACUGACGCUCUGGCACGAAAGCGUGGGGAGCAAACAGG